UACCAGCUCUCCGAGUGGUGUGGAUGUUUAUUGGGUCUAAAGCAUCCGUAGCUGGCCAAGCCAGUCCCUUGUUAAACCCACCGAAUUAAUCGUUGGAUUGCGGGGGAUACUGCUCGGCUAGGGGACGAGAGAGGCAGACGGUAUUUUCGGGGUAGGGGUGAAAUCCUAUAAUCCCGGGAAGACCACCAGUGGCGAAGGCUGUCUGCUAGAACGCGCCCGACGGUGAGGGAUGAAAGCUGGGGGAGCGAACCGGAUUAGAUACCCGGGUAGUCCCAGCUGUAAACGAUGCAGGCUAGGUGUUUGGGCGGCCACGUGCCGCUCUAGUGCCGCAGGGAAGCUGUUAAGCCUGCCACCUGGGGAGUACGGUCGCAAGAUUGAAACUUAAAUGAAUUGACGG
rnacentral:rRNA from 1 species